UACGUAGGGUGCAAGCGUUCAUCGGAAUUACUGGGCGUAAAGCGUGCGCAGGCGGUUAUAUAAGACAGAUGUGAAAUCCCCGGGCUCAACCUGGGAACUGCAUUUGUGACUGUAUAGCUAGAGUACGGCAGAGGGGGAUGGAAUUCCGCGUGUAGCAGUGAAAGGCGGAGAUAUGCGGAGGAACACCGAUGGCGAAGGCAAUCCCAUGGGCCUGUACUUACGCGCAUUCACUAACGCUUGGUAAGCCAACAGGAUUAGAUCCCACGGGAGUCC
rnacentral:rRNA from 1 species